CAUUGGAUCCAGACUUUGAUUCUGGCUCAGGACGAACGCUGGCGGCGUGCUUAACACAUGCAAGUCGAACGGGGUGUUUAUUUCGGUAAACACCAAGUGGCGAACGGGUGAGUAACGCGUAAGCAAUCUACCUUCAAGGUGGGGACAACACUUCGAAAGGGGUGCUAAUACCGAAUGAAUGUAAGAGUAUCGCAUGAGACACUUACUAAAGGAGGCCUCUGACAUAAGCUUCCGCUUGAAGAUGAGCUUGCGUCUGAUUAGCUAGUUGGUGAGGGUAAAGGCCCACCAAGGCGACGAUCAGUAGCCGGUCUGAGAGGAUGAACGGCACAUUGGGACUGAGACACGGCCCAGACUCCUACGGGAGGCAGCAGUGGGGAAUCUUCCGCAAUGGGCGAAAGCCUGACGGAGCAACGCCGCGUGAACGAUGAAGGUCUUAGGAUCGUAAAGUUCUGUUGUUAGGGACGAAGGAUAAGGAUUAUAAUACAGUCUUUGUUUGACGGUACCUAACGAGGAGGCCACGGCUAACUACGUGCCAGCAGCCGCGGUAAUACGUAGGCGGCAAGCGUUGUCCGGAAUUAUUGGGCGUAAAGGGAGCGCAGGCGGGAAACUAAGCGGAUCUUAAAAGUGCGGGGCCCAACCCCGUGAUGGGGUCCGAACUGGUUUUCUUGAGUGCAGGAGAGGAAAGCGGAAUUCCCAGUGUAGCGGUGAAAUGCGUAGAUAUUGGGAAGAACACCAGUGGCGAAGGCGGCUUUCUGGACUGUAACUGACGCUGAGGCUCGAAAGCUAGGGUAGCGAACGGGAUUAGAUACCCCGGUAGUCCUAGCCGUAAACGAUGGAUACUAGGUGUGGGAGGUAUCGACUCCUUCCGUGCCGGAGUUAACGCAAUAGGUAUCCCGCCUGGGGAGUACGGCCGCAAGGUUGCAACUCAAAUGAAUUGACGGA
rnacentral:rRNA from 2 species